CCAUGAGCUUUUUUUGUUGUCCCAUGAACCCCUGUCGCAGUUUGAUGAAGCCUAUGGAUUCUGUCUUAGAAAGACUUUUUUUUUUUGAGAUGGAGUCUCACUCUGUCACCCAGGCUGGAGUGCAGUGGUGUGAUCUCUGCUCAUUGCAACCUCUGCCUCCUGGGUUCAAGCAAUUCUCCUGCCUUGGCCUCCUUAGUAGUUGGGACUACAGGGACCAGCCACCACACCUGGCUAAUUUUUUUUUUUUAUUUUUAGUAGAGACAGGGUUUCACCAUGUUGGUCAGGCUGGUCUUGAACUCCUCACCUCAAGUGAUCCACCCACCUCAGCUUCCCAAAGUGCUGGGAUUACAGGCAUGAGCCACCAUGCCAGGCCAAAAAGUUUUUAAAUGCACAAAAAUGUUAAAAAAUUAUUAAUACAAAGGAAAUCAAUUAUACUUCUUUCUCAAUGUUUUCAUGAUUGCCCUGGAGUUUGUAAUAUACAUUUACAACCUAAGUCUACUUUUAAUAACACUAUCCUGCUUCAUGAUCAGGAGUGGUAGCUCAUGCCUGUAAUAAAUCUCAGCACUUUGGGAGGCCAAGGCCAGCAAUGGCUUGAGCCCAGGAGUUUGAGAUCAGGGCAACAUAGUGGGACCCCGUCUCUACAAAAAAUACGAAAAAAUAGCCGGGCAUGGUGUCAUGCAACUGUAGUCCCAGCUACUUGGGAAGCUGAGGUGGGAGGAUUCCUUGAGCCUGGGAAGUUGAAGCUGCAGUGAGCUGAGACUGUGCCACUGCACUCCAGCCUGGGCAACAGAGCGAGACCCUGCCUCAAAAAAAAAAAAAAAAAGAGAAGGAGCCAAACGCUGAUGCCCCCUAGGCCCAGUGACAGUGCCAGCACAAGGCCUAUACAGGCACUUGGCAAAUGCGCUGUGUUCUUAUUGUUGCAAAUGGCCUGUUAGCUUCCCAGGUCACAACGACCCCAAAUAACUCCCACACCUGCACCAUGCACCCAGUAGGCACUCAAUAAACAUUGACGUCAGGAAUGGUCCGUGUGGGUCUGGUUCUGGUUCUCGUUUGUCUCUUCAGAUUGUGUGUUCUUGCCUUUUGGCACGUCUUGUCAUUUUGUGUUGAAGCUGGAGAUAAAGUAUCAGGUAAUCAGAACUCUGGUAUGGCUGGGGGUGGUGGCUCAUGCCUGUAAUCCCAACACUUUGGGAGACUAAGGUAGGAGGACUGCUUGAGGCCAGGAGUUCAAGAUCAGCCUGGGCAGCAUAUCAAGACCCCGUCUCUAAAAGAAAAAAAAAAUUAAAAAAAAAAAAAACUUAGCUGGGCAUGUUCGUGUGUGCCUGUAAUCCCAGCACGUUGGGAGGCCAAGGUGAGAGAAUCGCUUGAGCCCAGGAGUUUGAGUCUGCAGUGAUCUAUGACUGUGCCACUGCACUCCAGCCUGGGCCACAGAGUGAGACCCUGUUUAAAAAAAAAAAAUCGGGAACAUAGGCCGUUAGCGUGAGCAUUUACAUCAUCUGGCUCGAAACUGGGCUCUUUUUCAUGUUUAUUAUAGCCGAAGUUUUGUUUACCUAGGGUCCUUGUUCUCAUCUCCCCUCCUGACUUUAAACUUCCCUAAGAGCUCCUUCACACACUGUCCGGUGUAUCAUAGUGAGGACUAAGCACUGACCUUUUAUCUUACCCAAAUAAGCUCUCACCUUUUAUCUUACCCAAAUUCCCACCUACGGGGUCUAGGGAGUCAACCCCUACAAACCAUAAAUUCUCAUCAGAUGGGUUUUAUUUGACCCUAUAUAUUGUGACUGACUUUUCAAUCUGACUCUGGCAUAAAAUUUUGAGACAAGGAAAAAAUAUUCAACCCCAAAAUAUAUAUUCCUUGCCAUGCCUUGAAAUUGCCCUGAAAAAUCUCUUGUGGGAAAAAUCCACAUUCUAUAGAGAAUCCCCUUUCCCCUUUGUUUUCCUUCCUUUCUUUCCAGAUCCAGGAGAUAAUCAACUAAGAGCCAGGCACCCUUUUAAGUCCCAUAAGAAACAAUUUACAACCUGCUGUCUCUGAAGUUGGCUAUCUGAGCACUUCCUCUGCACAAUAAAACUUGGUCUCCACAAUCCUUUAUUUUUAACCUGAACAUUUCCUUUCUAUCGAUCCCAGGUCUUUAGACAAGCUCAACCAAUUAUCUGCCAGAAAAUGUUUACAUUUACUUAUAGCCCGGAAGCACUUGCUUUGAGUUGUCCUGCCUUUCUGAACCAAACCAAUAUAUUUCUUAAUAUUUGAUUAAUGUCUCAUGCCUUCCUAAAAUAUAUAAAACCAAGCUGUACCUCAACCACCUUGGGCACAUGUUCUCAGGACCUCCUGAGGGCUGUGUCAUGGGCCAUGGUCACUCAUAUUUGGCUCAGAAUAAAUCUCUUAAAAUAUUUUAUGGAGUUUGACUCGCUUGAUCAACAGUAGCUCUUUCUGUCAGACUGUACUCACACUGGAGCCUUAUGGCGUGGUGGCCGGCCUGGGGUGGAGGAAGCAUUCCAUAGUGUUAUGAUGAAAUCUCAGCCUCUUAUUUGGCCUGUGCCCCUGGACUGUGACCUUCACAGGUGUUUCCUAGCUGCUUUUGUCUCCUUAAGGCUAGAGGUGGCUGAAGUGGAGGGAAUACCUUUCUCGAAAGGAAAAUAAAUCUGAAAGGAAAAUAAAUCUUGGUGCCCCAGAAUCACUAAGCUAAAGAGAAAAGUCAAGCUGGGAACUGCUUAGGGCAAACCUACCUCUCAUUCUAUUCAAAGUCACCCCUCUGCUCCCUGAGAUAAAUGCAUAUCUGAUGGCCUCAUUUGGAGAGGCUAAUCAGAAACUCAAAAGAAUGCAACCAUUUGUCUCUUAUCUACCUAUGACCUAGAAGCGCCCUCCCUGCUUCAAAUUGUCCUGCCUUUGCCUCGAGUUGUCCCAC
rnacentral:lncRNA from 1 species